UACGUAGGGCGCAAGCGUUGUCCGGAAUUAUUGGGCGUAAAGAGCUCGUAGGCGGCUUGUCACGUCGGGUGUGAAAGCCCGGGGCUUAACCCCGGGUCUGCAUUCGAUACGGGCUAGCUAGAGUGUGGUAGGGGAGAUCGGAAUUCCUGGUGUAGCGGUGAAGUGCGCAGAUAUCAGGAGGAACACCGGUGGCGAAGGCGGAUCUCUGGGCCAUUACUGACGCUGAGGAGCGAAAGCGUGGGGAGCGAACAGG
rnacentral:rRNA from 1 species